rnacentral:rRNA from 1 species
UCUUUAAGAACUAAUUUAAAGUAAAACCUGCUCAAUGAUUAAUUAAAUAGCCGCAGUUCCCUGCGCUAAGGUAGCAUAAUCACUAGUUCUAUAAUUAAGAAAUAGUAUGAAUGGUUAAACGUUAAAAACAUUGUCUCAUUUUAAUCAAAUUAAUUUUAUUUACUGGUAAAAAAGCCAAUAUAAAAAAACCAGACGAUAAGACCCUGACAAACUUAAUAUUUAGCUGGGGCAGCUCAUUAAAAAAACUUUAUAUACCAACUAACACCAAACUAUAAAAAUAAUCUAGAAAAGUUACUGCAGGGAUAACAGCGCCAUUUCUUUUAAGAGAACCCAUCACAAAAGAACUUUACGACCUCGAUGUUGAAUUAAUUACUCUAUUAAAGCGCAAAAGCUUAAUAAGAUGGUCUGUUCGACCAUUAAAAAA